rnacentral:rRNA from 1 species
AUGAACGCUGGCGGCGUGCCUAAUCCCUGCAAGUCGCGCGAACAGACGAGGAGCUUGCUCCUCUGACGUUAGCGGCGGACGGGUGAGUAACAUGUGGAUAACCUACCUAUAAGACUGGGAUACUUCGGGAAACCGGAGCUAAUACCGGAUAAUAUAUUGAACCGCAUGGUUCAAUAGUGAAAGACGGUUUUGCUGUCACUUAUAGAUGGAUCCGCGCCGCAUUAGCUAGUUGGUAAGGUAACGGCUUACCAAGGCAACGAUGCGUAGCCGACCUGAGAGGGUGAUCGGCCACACUGGAACUGAGACACGGUCCAGACUCCUACGGGAGGCAGCAGUAGGGAAUCUUCCGCAAUGGGCGAAAGCCUGACGGAGCAACGCCGCGUGAGUGAUGAAGGUCUUCGGAUCGUAAAACUCUGUUAUUAGGGAAGAACAAAUGUGUAAGUAACUAUGCACGUCUUGACGGUACCUAAUCAGAAAGCCACGGCUAACUACGUG